GAUGAACGCUGGCGGCGUGCCUAAUACAUGCAAGUCGAGCGACCGGACGAGAAGCUUGCUUCUCUGACGUUAGCGGCGGACGGGUGAGUAACACGUGGAUAACCUACCUAUAAGACUGGGAUAACUUCGGGAAACCGGAGCUAAUACCGGAUAAUAUUUUGAACCGCAUGGUUCAAAAGUGAAAGACGGUCUUGCUGUCACUUAUAGAUGGAUCCGCGCUGCAUUAGCUAGUUGGUAAGGUAACGGCUUACCAAGGCAACGAUGCAUAGCCGACCUGAGAGGGUGAUCGGCCACACUGGAACUGAGACACGGUCCAGACUCCUACGGGAGGCAGCAGUAGGGAAUCUUCCGCAAUGGGCGAAAGCCUGACGGAGCAACGCCGCGUGAGUGAUGAAGGUCUUCGGAUCGUAAAACUCUGUUAUUAGGGAAGAACAUAUGUGUAAGUAACUGUGCACAUCUUGACGGUACCUAAUCAGAAAGCCACGGCUAACUACGUG
rnacentral:rRNA from 1 species